GUCUGGUGCCAGCAGCCGCGGUAAUUCCAGCUCCAAUAGCGUAUAUUAAAGUUGUUGCAGUUAAAAAGCUCGUAGUUGAACCUUGGGCCUGGCUGGCCGGUCCGCCUCACCGCGUGCACUGGUCCGGCCGGGCCUUUCCUUCUGAGGAGCCGCAUGCCCUUCACUGGGUGUGUCGGGGAAUCAGGACUUUUACUUUGAAAAAAUUAGAGUGUUCAAAGCAGGCCUAUGCUCGAACACAUUAGCAUGGAAUAAUAGGAUAGGACGUGUGGUUCUAUUUUGUUGGUUUCUAGGACCGCCGUAAUGAUUNNNNNGGAUAGUCGGGSSNNUCAGUAUUCAAUUGUCAGAGGUGAAAUUCUUGGAUUUAUUGCAGACUAACUACUGCGAAUGCAUUUGCCAAGGAUGUUUUCAUUAAUCAGUGAACGCAAGUUAGGGNNUCGAANNNNNNNNNNNNNNNNCGUAGUCUUAACCAUAAACUAUGCCGACUAGGGAUCGGGCGAUGUUAUCUUUUUGACUCGCUCGGCACCUCACGAGAAAUCAAAGUCUUUGGGUUCU
rnacentral:rRNA from 1 species